rnacentral:tRNA from 1 species
GCUACAUUAGCUUAGUAUGGUUAGAGCACUCGGCUCAUAUCCGAGCAUACAUUGGUUCAAAUCCAUUAUGUAGCACCA